ACUUAAAUAUUUAUGGUGGUGUCACAAAAUCGGAGGCCCCGACUGUUUACUAAAAACACAAUUCAGAGCAAUGAUGUAAAUCAUAGUAUUCUGGAUGAAAUUUGCCCAAUGCCAUUAACAUAAAAGAGGUAAUGGGAAACUGUUACUAAUUGAAAGUCUGGUUAAUAGCGGUCUUAACUAUGAGGAUCCUAAGGUAGCAAAAUCAGUUGGCCAUUAAAUGUGGUCUGGUAUCAAUAGUGUAACGAUGGUCUCACUGUCUCUACAACUUGCUCAGUGAAAUUGAAUUAUCCGUGCAGAUGCGGAUUGCCUCCAGGUGGACGGGAAGACCCUAUGCAGCUUCUAC
rnacentral:rRNA from 1 species